UAUAUAUAUAUAUAUAAAGGGAUCAUAAUCUAUUUGUUUGUUACAUGUAAACUAGGAGGAAAAAAAAUAUGGCUAGCAUUCUCAACUUUGUUUAUUUUAUGAUUUUCGUUCAUUUCCUAUUUCUUGUUUUGACCGAAGCUAAUACUACUAAUUGCACUUCUAUCGCUGAUUGUGCAAGUAAGAUAUGUGCUUUACCUUCAGUUGUAUGGUGUUUGUCACAUUCAAAUACAUGUAUAUGCCUUUAAUAGGUCAAGUAAGACAACACAAAAUAAAUAAAAUAAUAUGAUGUCACUCCAUUGUACUUUAUUUUUUUUUACAAUAACUACAUUUUUCUUUAUAAUAUAUAAUAAUAUAUGUAUCUAUUAUGCAAUAAGCAUAAAAUGUAACGUACUUUCAUAUUAUAUGAAAUAAUUAGUCAAAAAGAUAUUAAAUACAGAAUAGUGUGAUUUCACUA